rnacentral:tRNA from 1 species
GGCGGCCAUGGUCGACAGGUUGACGGUGUUGGCGCCGUCACCGCCGGUGCCGACGAUGUCGACGGUGGCGGUGCCGAUGGUGUCGGUGGGCACCCGCC